CGUUGUCAAAAAUUUAAUAAACUUGACUCUAUUCCUCUCUCUUCUGUCUGACUCCCAAUGCAUUCAAUCUACUUUUCCCCGCCUUUUCCUCUACUCCACAUCUCCAAUUCUCCAUUCCAUUACUCCAAUCUCUCAUUCUCAUUCACAGUAGCCUGAUCGAUUAAUUUUCCACCCAAAAUUAGAGCGUGCUUUAGGGUUUUGUAUUUUUGCAAUACAAUCAAAUUCUAGGCUUUAGGGAAAUUGGAUUAUUCUGUUGAUGGUAUUGAAGAAGAUGGGCUCUGAAGCGGAAGUUGUUUGUCCUCAAAUUGUUCCUGUUGUCCAUGUCGUUUUUGCCUAUUAGAACAAGAGUUGUUGAACAGGAGCAGAGUUUAGCAUUUGGUGCGUUUUAAGCAUGAUGGAGAUUUCUAUGUUACAUCGGGAUUCGGAAAAUAUGUCUUAUGGGUCUAGCAAUGAGGAUUGCUCCAGUGCUAAGGUUUUUUCAUGGGGUUCUUUGGAUUUUUGCAAUAAAAGAUAUGGUACUUGUCUGUUUAUUCAGAGUUUCUUUUGAUCUCAUACUCCUUGCCUGUGAUAUUGUAUAGUUGGCAACUUAACUACCUAUAUACUCAUAGCUCUUUUGAGGCCGGGUUUGAUUGAGACAAUUUAUUGCAAUGAGUUUUAGUAGUCAAUUGUCAUACAGUGAAUGUGAUGAAAGGGCAGGUUUACAUUUGCAAAUUAUAGUGUUUUCACGAUUAAUUAUCUGAUAGUGUAUUAAUUGUGGUUGACAAGUUUCGUUGUUGGUGGACUUGCUAAUAUCUCAAAAUACAGAGACUAGCAUCAGGUUCUUGUUACCUUAUUAAUGAAAUUGUAGUGAAUUCUUCCGUUCUUCUUCAUUUCACUUAUCUUUUUUAGAACCAAACUGCAGGGAAUGCUUUAACAUUCACGAAGAGUUUUCUUUCUUUUCUUACUACCACAUAUCAUAUUAUAUCCUUUUGAGCUUUUAAACCAAUACCUAUUCAUUUGGAUAAUAUGCACUAUUUAACUGUAUUUGUGUAAGCUGUGUUUUAGAUAUGUUUUCCCUGACUCUAUAGUGGCCACCCAGUCAUGGUUUAUUCUUGCUCAUGUAACUCCUGAUUCUUUCACCAUCUUUUAGUUUAAUCUUUUGAAGAUGCAACAUUGAUAUAUACAUAUUUAACCUUUAUCUCUUGACUGCCAGAAACCAUUCUUCUCAAAAUUUGGAGCCAUUGUUACAAUUUCUUUUCUUGGAACCUUUAAAGCCUCAAUUUUUGUCUGGCCUUCUGGUGUAGGCAUCUUUUGCUCUCCUUUUCCAUCUGAUAAUGACUAUAUUGCUAUGUGGAUUUGCUUAUGACUUGAACUGCCGUUGAUUUCUGCUUUAGGUAUCUUGAUGGGGUUACAUAUCUUAUAUAAAAAUUCCCAUUUGUUGAAUGUUAUAAUGUUUGGAGCACUGAUAAUAUCAACUGAUCAUAUCAUUGUUUUGGCAAUAUUCUGGGUGACUCACUAUUUUGUUUCUGUUGCCUGCUUGAUGUGUUUCCAUUAUUUAAUUUGUUUUCUUUACAUUGUUAAUAGAUAAUGCCAUUCUUAUUACUUGAAACUUAUACAACCUUUGUUUCCUACUAUUUGCAACGAAAUUUUUUAUGCCUCAUAAAUAACACCCCUUUGUUGCAUAUAAUAAGAAACAAAUGUAGCAUGUGAAUAUAAAUGGACAAUCAGUUAACUAAACAAAUUAAAAAUUCUUAUACAAUCAAAUAAAAUUUAGACGUCAAAUAGCCAAAUUACUCUAUCUUGUUAAAUAAAAAAUAAAAUUGCAGCAGUCCAUUUUCCCGGGAUGGGAGGGUUGGGGAGUUACUGAGUUAGAAACCUUGGUUUGCCUGUGAAAUAUAUAGAUAAUUUUUAAUAAUUUUUACUAAUCAUAUGGUAUAUUUUUAAUUUCUAUACUUUCAGAACUGGUUCGGAGAAUUGAGUGUUGUCAUGGCCGUCUAUUGGCUCAAGGCAUAUUAUGCACUUUAGGGAGCUCAAAUUAAAUUAUGGGCCUCUUUACAAGGAGCCAAUUUACAAGGACUCGUACGUGGUUCUAUUCAAGGGUGUGGCCAAGCUGGGGACGGGCUUAAAACUAAGAAAUCAGCUGAUCAAUCUAAGUACAGUAGCUCACAAGUCGUGAUCCAAGUGGCAGUAGUACUCAGUGUAAUGCUUUUUGUAAACAAAAACUAUGGAAGUGCAUCUGAGAUUACUGAUGUUAAUGGCUUAAUACCUCUGCUUCUGGCAAGAAGGAAUCGAGCCUUGUUGAGGAGAAUGAAGGCUGUAAGCCCUUCGUACAUGAUCAGUUCAAGUUGAAAAGGAAUUCAUUCUGCAGAAAGAGAAGCAGCUCGACCUAAGUUCCUACAAAAACGGAAAAACCGAAGCUUUGCGAAAAAGGUGUGCAAACAUCAGGGGACAUAUUUGCGGUAUAUGAACUUGACCUGAAUUAUUUGUGUGUAUCUAUAGAUUAUCAUAUGCCUAAAUGUUUACAUAGCUUGAUUUUCAACGUCGAAUGGUGGAUUAUCUCACCAAGUAUUAGUAUUUGAUUAUAAAUGCAGGUGCGGUAUCAAAAGCAGGUAAAAAACUAGCAGAGCAGCAGCCUAGGGUGAC